rnacentral:rRNA from 1 species
UACGUAGGGCGCAAGCGUUAUCCGGAAUUAUUGGGCGUAAAGAGCUCGUAGGCGGUUUGUCGCGUCUGCCGUGAAAGUCCGGGGCUCAACUCCGGAUCUGCGGUGGGUACGGGCAGACUAGAGUGAUGUAGGGGAGACUGGAAUUCCUGGUGUAGCGGUGAGAUGCGCAGAUAUCAGGAGGAACACCGAUGGCGAAGGCAGGUCUCUGGGCAUUAACCGACGCUGAGGAGCGAAAGCAUGGGGAGCGAACAGG